UACGUAGGGCGCGAGCGUUGUCCGGAUUUAUUGGGCGUAAAGCGUGCGUAGGCGGCUGCGCAAGUCGGGUGUGAAACCCCGGGGCUCAACCCCGGAACUGCAUCCGAUACUGCGUGGCUAGAGGUAGGUAGGGGAGAUCGGAAUUCCUGGUGUAGCGGUGAAAUGCGCAGAUAUCAGGAGGAACACCGGUGGCGAAGGCGGCCCUCUGGACGGAUACUGACGCUGAGACGCGACAGCGUGGGGAGCAAACAGG
rnacentral:rRNA from 1 species